rnacentral:rRNA from 1 species
CGGACGGGUGAGUAACGCGUAGGAAUCUACCUGGUAGUGGGGGGGCAACAUGGUGAAAACCAUGCUAAUACCGCAUACGCCCUAAGGGGGAAAGCGGGGGAUCUUCAGACCUCGCGCUAUUGGAUGAGCCUGCGUAAGAUUAGCUAGUUGGUGGGGUAAAAGCUCACCAAGGCGACGAUCUUUAGCUGGUCUGAGAGGAUGAUCAGCCACACUGGAACUGAGACACGGUCCAG